AUUGAACGCUGGCGGCAUGCCUUACACAUGCAAGUCGAACGGCAGCACGGGAGCAAUCCUGGUGGCGAGUGGCGAACGGGUGAGUAAGGUAUCGGAACGUGCCCAGUCGUGGGGGAUAACGUAGCGAAAGUUACGCUAAUACCGCAUACGAUCUAUGGAUGAAAGCGGGGGAUUGCAAGACCUCGCGCGAUUGGAGCGGCCGAUAUCAGAUUAGGUAGUUGGUGGGGUAAAGGCUCACCAAGCCGACGAUCUGUAGCUGGUCUGAGAGGACGACCAGCCACACUGGGACUGAGACACGGCCCAGACUCCUACGGGAGGCAGCAGUGGGGAAUUUUGGACAAUGGGCGAAAGCCUGAUCCAGCCAUGCCGCGUGCAGGAUGAAGGCCUUCGGGUUGUAAACUGCUUUUGUACGGAACGAAAAGGUUUGGCCUAAUAAGCUGAGCUCAUGACGGUACCGUAAGAAUAAGCACCGGCUAACUACGUGCCAGCAGCCGCCGCUG
rnacentral:rRNA from 1 species